ACAUCCCAGGUGUGCCCCAGGUGUGUGUGAUCUGUCCCAGGUGUGUCCCAGGUGUGUGUGACACAUUCCAGAUGUGUCCCAGGUGUGUUCCAGGUGUGUGUGAUGUGCCCCAGGUGUGCCCC
rnacentral:lncRNA from 12 species